UUUUAGCUUCUUACUGCAUUCAGACAUACAUGACAAAAGGGAAUGAAAAAGAAUAACAUGUCCUGAAGGCUCUUAUAGAAUCCUAAGUAUAUGGCCCAUAGGCUUAGUACUGCUGGGCCGUGUGCUCACGUGGAGCGGAAUAAAUAACAUCCUUCCCAGGUUUAGAGGUUGGAGUUUGGUCGCGGGGUGCUUCUGAGUGAAAAAAACUGGGAUUUGAGUUAACUGUAGAACUGAAGCCAUCUGGAAAACUUCCUAUGAUGCUGUGGUGCUUACUUAUGUGACCGUGUGGGGGAAGGAAGCAGAGUGGUCUGGUCGGCUGCCCCUGGGGGUUCCUUAAUAGUUGUUAUAAUCUCUAACAGACAGUUCCCUCACCCCAGGCAAGUGAGCCCUUCUUUGUUGGAAAGGAUUUAGCACCUCCAUUUUAUCUAAAAAAAUCUAGGUGAGAAAUCAUUGCAUGGAUUUGUUUGCCAGAUACUUUAGGAUUCGGAUCACACUGCCUGCUUCCUCCUCCUCAGUAAGACAAAAACGAAAGGCAAUAAGUAGGGAAAGCCAUUUGGACUUUAAACCCAAACUACUUG
rnacentral:lncRNA from 1 species